rnacentral:rRNA from 1 species
UCUGUUCACGGCCGCGGUAUUCUAACCGUGCGAAGGUAGCGUAAUCACUUGCCCUUUAAAUGAGGGCUAGUAUGAAUGGCAUCACGAAAGUUGUACUGUCUCCUUCCCCUAAUCAGUGAAACUAAUCUCCCCGUGAAGAAGCGGGGAUACUUAUAUAAGACGAGAAGACCCUAUGGAGCUUUAAACCAAGCAUCAACUGCCACUAUAAACCUACAAUUCCAGAAAUAUAAUCUGUACGCUAGCAUAGUGUAAUGCUGGUUUUAGGUUGGGGUGACCACGGAGUAAAAACAAACCUCCGUGCUGAAUCAGGACCUCCUUAAGCAAUAAGCCACAACUUUAUGCAUCAACAAAUUGACAUAAUUGACCCAAUUCUUUGAUCAACGAACCAAGUUACCCUAGGGAUAACAGCGCAAUCCAUUUCAAGAGCCCCU